rnacentral:piRNA from 1 species
UGCUGGGCGACUCUGGGCUUGUCG